rnacentral:rRNA from 1 species
UACGUAAGGGGCUAGCGUUGUUCGGAAUUAUUGGGCGUAAAGGGCGUGUAGGCGGAUUAAUAAGUUGGAUGUGAAAUAUCUCGGCUCAACUGAGAAACUGCGUUCAAAACUGUUAAUCUAGAGUUUGGAAGAGGAAGACAGAAUUCCUGGUGUAGGGGUGAAAUCUAUAGAUAUCAGGAAGAAUACCGAUUGCGAAGGCGGUCUUCUGGUCCAAAACUGACGCUGAUACGCGAAAGCCAGGGGAGCGAACGGG